rnacentral:rRNA from 1 species
UACGAAGGAUGCAAGCGUUAUCCGGAUUCACUGGGUUUAAAGGGUGUGCAGGUGGGGUAAUAAGUCAGUGGUGAAAGCCCCCGACUCAAUCGGGGAACUGCCAUAGAUACUGUUAUUCUUGAGUGUAGUUGAGGCGGAUGGAAUAUGACAUGUAGCGGUGAAAUGCUUAGAUAUGUCAUAGAACACCGAUCGCGAAGGCAGUCCGCCAAGCUAUUACUGACACUGAAACACGAAGGUGCGGGGAUCAAACAGG